UAGGGAAUCUUCGGCAAUGGGGGGAACCCUGACCGAGCAACGCCGCGAUAGUGAAGAAGGUUUUCGGUUCGUAAAGCUCUGUUGUUAAGGAAGAACGAGCGUGAGAAUGGAAAGUUCAUACUGUGACGCUACUUAACCAGAAAGGGACGGCUAACUACGUGCCAGCAGCCGCGGUAAUACGUAGGUCCCGAACGUUGUCCGGAUCUAUUGGGCGUAAAGCGAGCGCAGCGGGUUAGAUAAGUCUGAAUUUAAAGGCAGUGGCUCAACCAUUGUAGGCUUUGGAAACUGUUUAACUUGAGUGCAGAAGGGGAGGGUGGAAUUCCAUGUAUGGCUGUGAAAUGCGUAGAUGUAUGGAGGAACACCUGUGGCGAGGGCGACUCUCUGGUCUGUAACUGACGCUGAGGCUCGAAAGCGUGGGUAGCAAACAGG
rnacentral:rRNA from 1 species